GAGACAGGUGGUGCAUGGUUGUCGUCAGCUCGUGUCGUGAGAUGUUGGGUUAAGUCCCGCAACGAGCGCAACCCUUAUCUUUAGUAGCCAGCAGUAAGAUGGGCACUCUAGGGAGACUGCCAGGGACAACCUGGAGGAAGGUGGGGAUGACGUCAAAUCAUCAUGCCCCUUAUGAUUUGGGCUACACACGUGCUAAAUGGCGUAAACAAAGGGAAGCGAGCCUGUGAGGGKGAGCAAAUCUCAAAAAUAACGUCUCAGUUCGGAUUGUAGUCUGCAACUCGACUACAUGAAGCUGGAAUCGCUAGUAAUCGCGAAUCAGAAUGUCGCGGUAAA
rnacentral:rRNA from 1 species